rnacentral:rRNA from 1 species
CCUACGGGUGGCUGCAGUGGGGAAUAUUGGGCAAUGGAGGAAACUCUGACCCAGCAACGCCGCGUGAAUGAUGAAGGUCUUCGGAUUGUAAAGUUCUUUUCUAAGGGACGAAGAAAGUGACGGUACCUUAGGAAUAAGCCUCGGCUAACUACGUGCCAGCAGCCGCGGUAAUACGUAGGAGGCAAGCGUUAUCCGGAAUGACUGGGCGUAAAGGGUGCGUAGGUGGUUCAGCAAGUUGGCAGCGUAACUCCGGGGCUCAACCUCGGCACUACUGCCAAAACUGUCGAACUUGAGUGCAGGAGGGGCAAUCGGAAUUCCUAGUGUAGCGGUGGAAUGCGUAGAUAUUAGGAGGAACACCAGUGGCGAAGGCGGAUUGCUGGACGGUAACUGACACUGAGGCACGAAAGCGUGGGGAGCAAACAGGAUUAGAUACCCGUGUAGUC